GUAGGUGGCAAGCGUUGUCCGGAUUUACUGGGCGUAAAGAGCGCGCAGGCGGUCGUUCAAGUCGCGUGUGAAAGCCCCCGGCUCAACUGGGGAGGGUCACGCGAUACUGAUCGACUCGAAGGCAGGAGAGGGAAGUGGAAUUCCCGGUGUAGUGGUGAAAUGCGUAGAUAUCGGGAGGAACACCAGUGGCGAAGGCGACUUCCUGGCCUGUUCUUGACGCUGAGGCGCGAAAGCUAGGGGAGCAAACGGGAUUAGAUACCCCGGUAGUCCUAGCCGUAAACGAUGGACACUAGGUGUUGGUGGUAUCAACCCCGCCAGUGCCGAAGCUAACGCAUUAAGUGUCCCGCCUGGGGAGUACGGCCGCAAGGCUA
rnacentral:rRNA from 1 species